CGGACGGGUGAGUAAUGUCUGGGAAACUGCCUGAUGGAGGGGGAUAACUACUGGAAACGGUAGCUAAUACCGCAUAACGUCGCAAGACCAAAGAGGGGGACCGUUCGGGCCUCUUGCCAUCGGAUGUGCCCAGAUGGGAUUAGCUAGUAGGUGGGGUAACGGCUCACCUAGGCGACGAUCCCUAGCUGGUCUGAGAGGAUGACCAGCCACACUGGAACUGAGACACGGUCCAG
rnacentral:rRNA from 1 species